ACAGCAGUCGCCGCGGUAAUACGUAGGUGGCAAGCGUUGUCCGGAAUUAUUGGGCGUAAAGGGCUCGCAGGCGGUUUCUUAAGUCUGAUGUGAAAGCCCCCGGCUCAACCGGGGAGGGUCAUUGGAAACUGGGAAACUUGAGUGCGGAAGAGGAGAGUGGAAUUCCACGUGUAGCGGUGAAAUGCGUAGAGAUGUGGAGGAACACCAGUGGCGAAGGCGACUCUCUGGUCUGUAACUGACGCUGAGGAGCGAAAGCGUGGGGAGCGAACAGGAUUAGAGACCCCGGUAGUCCCUGUCUCUUAUAC
rnacentral:rRNA from 1 species